rnacentral:rRNA from 1 species
GACGAACGCUGGCGGCGUGCUUAACACAUGCAAGUCGAACGGAAAGGCCCUGCUUUUGUGGGGUGCUCGAGUGGCGAACGGGUGAGUAACACGUGAGUAACCUGCCCUUGACUUUGGGAUAACUUCAGGAAACUGGGGCUAAUACCGGAUAGGAGCUCCUGCUGCAUGGUGGGGGUUGGAAAGUUUCGGCGGUUGGGGAUGGACUCGCGGCUUAUCAGCUUGUUGGUGGGGUAGUGGCUUACCAAGGCUUUGACGGGUAGCCGGCCUGAGAGGGUGACCGGCCACAUUGGGACUGAGAUACGGCCCAGACUCCUACGGAAGGCAGCAGUGGGGAAUAUUGCACAAUGGGCGGAAGCCUGAUGCAGCAACGCCGCGUGCGUGAUGACGGCCUUCGGGUUGUAAACCGCUUUCGCCUGUGACGAAGCGUGAGUGACGGUAAUGGGUAAAGAAGCACCGGCUAACUACGUG